rnacentral:rRNA from 1 species
AACGAACGCUGGCGGCAUGCCUAAUACAUGCAAGUCGAACGAUCACUUCGGUGGUAGUGGCGCACGGGUGCGUAACGCGUGGGAAUCUGCCCUUGGGUUCGGAAUAACGUCGGGAAACUGACGCUAAUACCGGAUGAUGACGUAAGUCCAAAGAUUUAUCGCCCAGGGAUGAGCCCGCGUAGGAUUAGCUAGUUGGUAGGGUAAAGGCCUACCAAGGCGACGAUCCUUAGCUGGUCUGAGAGGAUGAUCAGCCACACUGGGACUGAGACACGGCCCAGACUCCUACGGGAGGCAGCAGUAGGGAAUAUUGGACAAUGGGGGCAACCCUGAUCCAGCAAUGCCGCGUGAGUGAUGAAGGCCUUAGGGUUGUAAAGCUCUUUUACCCGGGAUGAUAAUGACAGUACCGGGAGAAUAAGCCCCGGCUAACUCCGUGCCAGCAGCCGCCGCGG